CGGCUUGUUCGCACGGUAACACGAUGGAGCUCAUUCGUG
rnacentral:RNase_MRP_RNA from 1 species